UCAAGCGUUUUGAAGGGCAUCUGGUGAAUGCCUUGGCGAUUAGAGGCGAAGAAGGACGUGACAGGCUGCGAUAAGCCGCGGUAAGGGGCCAAUACCCGUUAUACCCGCGGAUCUCCGAAUGGGGAAACCCACUCUUUAUUGAGUAUCUUGACGUGAAUACAUAGCGUCUUGAAGCAAACCUGGGGAAGUGAAACAUCUCAGUACCCAGAGGAAAGGAAAUCAACCGAGACUCCCGUAGUAGUGGCGAGCGAACCGGGACCAGCCCAGCGGCUGUUCUGUAAUAACUGGAAGUGUCUGGAAAGUCACACCAAAGUAGGUGAUAGUCCUGUACAGGUAAAAAACAGAGCAGUCCUCGAGUAGGACGGAACACGUGAAAUUCUGUCUGAACAUGGGGGGACCAUCCUCCAAGGCUAAGUACUCCUAAUCGACCGAUAGUGAACAAGUACCGUGAGGGAAAGGUGAAAAGAACCCCGAUAAGGGGAGUGAAAUAGACCUGAAACCGGAUGCCUACAAGCAGUGGGAGCACCAUUAAGGUGUGACCGCGUACCUUUUGUAUAAUGGGUCAGCGAGUUAGUCUGUCAUGCAAGCUUAAGCCGAUAGGCGUAGGCGUAGCGAAAGCGAGUCUUAAACGGGCGCUCAGUAUGACGGAUUAGACCCGAAACCCGGUGAUCUAGAUAUGGACAGGUUGAAGGUUGGGUAACACCAACUGGAGGACCGAACCCAUCGACGUUGCAAAGUCGUGGGAUGAUCUGUGUCUAGGGGUGAAAGGCCAAUCAAACCGGGUAAUAGCUGGUUCUCCGCGAAAUCUAUUUAGGUAGACCGUUAUGUACUCACCUUCGGGGGUAGAGCACUGGAAGGGCUAGGGGGGCGCGAGCCUUACCAAACCUUACCAAACUCCGAAUACCGAAGAGUGUAAUCAUAGCAGACAGACUACGGGUGAUAAGGUCCGUGGUCGAAAGGGAAACAGCCCAGACCAACAGCUAAGGUCCCCAAAUGACGACUCAGUGGAAAAGCAAGUCGGAUGUCCAUAACAACCAGGAAGUUGGCUUAGAAGCAGCCAUCUUUUAAAGAAAGCGUAAUAGCUCACUGGUCUAAAUAAGACGUCUGGCGGCGAAGAUGUAACGGGUCUUAAGUCGUCUACCGAAGCUUUGGAUGCACACUUUGUGUGCGUGGUAGCGGAGCAUUCUGUAAGCCUGCGAAGGAUAACCGCGAGGUUAUCUGGAGGUAUCAGAAGAGAGAAUGCUGACAUGAGUAACGAUAAAGAGUGUGAGAAACACUCUCGCCGAAAUCCCAAGGGUUCCUGAUUUAAGUUAAUCUGAUCAGGGUGAGCCGGCCCCUAAGGCGAGGGCGAAAGCCGUAGUCGAUGGGAACCACGUUAAUAUUCGUGGGCCAGUGGAUGUGUGACGGUGUCCGUAAAUUGUUCUUCCUUAUUGGAUUGGAAGGGCCGUGAAGGACAUCCAGGAAAUAGCCUCCACACAGACCGUACCCUAAACCGACACAGGUGGGAUGGUAGAGAAUACCAAGGCGCUUGAGAGAACUGUCCUGAAGGAACUCGGCAAAUUACUUGCGUAACUUCGGGAUAAGCAAGCCCUGUCAGAAGGCAACUUUUGACGGGGGGCACAGACCAGGGGGUAGCGACUGUUUAUCAAAAACACAGGGCUCUGCGAACACGCGAGUGGACGUAUAGGGUCUGACGCCUGCCCGGUGCCGGAAGGUUAAAGGGAGGAGUGCAAGCUCCGAACUGAAGCCCCGGUAAACGGCGGCCGUAACUAUAACGGUCCUAAGGUAGCGAAAUUCCUUGUCGGGUAAGUUCCGACCUGCACGAAUGGCGUAACGACCUCCCCACUGUCUCCAGCAUGGGCUCAGUGAAAUUGAAUUCCCCGUGAAGAUGCGGGGUACCCGCGGUCAGACGGAAAGACCCUAUGAACCUUUACUGCAGCUUGGCAGUGGCGCCAGGAAGGGACUGUGUAGGAU
rnacentral:rRNA from 1 species